rnacentral:lncRNA from 1 species
UGGGAGAGGGGGUAAAGGAAAUUGACAAAGGAACACUGAGGAAAAAAAAGGAAAGGGGGAUUGGGUUGGACGUCAGUCAGAAAGGAUGAGUUGACCUUAGCUUAAUGAGACAUCCCAACAUAGUAUUUAGUGUUCAAAAUACAGAGACACUGUGUGGACACACACACACACACACACACACACACACACACACACACAGAGCCAGCUACAACCUUACCUCCUGGGCUUCUUUCUUUACCCUUGGGCU